rnacentral:lncRNA from 1 species
UUUUUUUUUUACCAAACUUAUGAUAACCUGUGACCAUGACCUUAUUGAUCAAAUUAUAAUGAACUCAACCAGUAUAAAAGAUUCUCUUAGAAUCAGGAAUGCUCCUAAGGGCUUUUCUCUUUGAAACCAUUAUCUUACAAGUUAAAAAUAAGAAUGUCUGAUAGGUCAAUUUUUUAAAACAUACAUAGUCUUGUUUCUCUAUAAUCUCAUGAUACUUCCCACCUCUGGGUCUGAGGAGUUUGGCUUCCUCCCUCUUUCCUGGCUCAUUUUUAAAUGACUUUAAGCUCACCAAGGGCAAGAUUUCUCCAGGAAGUUUUCCCUGAUCUCUGUCCCAGGAGGCCGAGGGGCCUACCUCUGCAUUCCCACAGCAUCCUGAGCUUGUUUUUAUCAUUGUACUUAUAUUUGUUAUGAUUGAGAUGGGCUAUUUACUUGAAUGUUUCCUGCUUCAUUGUGAGACUCCAAAGGAUGGCAACAGUGUCCUCAUCAUCUUCAUAUCCUGUGCACAAUGUCAGAUGGUGAAAAUAUUCAUUGAACUGCAAUGGGAGCAGAAUCAGGACAUUCUGGUUCUGGAAGCAAUUAUCAACCCGCCACCCACCUGGAAGUUCUGCAGGUGUGUCAUACACACAGGCCCUGACAUUUUCAACCAGGCUUCAACACUCAUCUUGGGCACUGUUGUAGAACAAUUGAUGAGCCCCUGUAGCAGCAGACUUCUAAGGUGAGAAGUCCUGAGAUGUGGGCAAAAAGGGAGCCCGGGAGUCCCUGCAGUUAGAAAUAAAAAAGCAUCGAGGUUUCUAGACACUCAAUUUGAACUCUGUUAAAUGAAACACAGGCCCUUUGAGAGAGGUGUUUGUUCUGGAUUCAGCUGCGUUCUGUUCAGAGAAUGGCCUGUGGGGACAGAUCUGUCACAGGCAUGCAGAUGUCUGGUUUAAGACGGAGGACUCCCUCCAGCCUGUUUGUGAGCUAGCCAAUAUUGUAAUUGAAGGUGAGCCUGACCUCAGUCCUCCUGGCUCUGAGGAGAAUGCCACUCAGCCGGGCCUUUGAGUGAGCUCAUGAGCAACAGUGUCUGCCUUCCAGAGUACAAACAUUGCUUGCUCCAUUUUAGCCCCUUCUACUUGGCCCCAUGGGGGCUAUGGGAUAAUGUCAGUGGUCCCCACAUAAUGUGCAUCAAUAAGCAAACAAUAAAAAAAAAUACUAGUUCACAUAGACUUGCU